GGAGAAAUACCCAAGAGGCCGAAGGGGCUCCCCUGCUAAGGGAGUAGUACGAGUGAAUCGUAGCGAGAGUUCAAAUCUCUCUUUCUCCGCCA
rnacentral:tRNA from 1 species